rnacentral:lncRNA from 1 species
AACAACACCAUUUUCAAUAUAAAAUUAAUUAAAUAAUACUCCCUAAAGUAAUUAACUGCUCAACUAAUCAACCCAAUUAUAUAUAAAAAUGAAAUAAAAAUAAAAUGGAAAGAAGCAACAUUUGCUCCACUGCCUCAAUUCUUGACUAUUUGCCGUUGUAGGGCUGUCGGUGGCACUGUGAUGAAGCCGAGAAGGGAGUGGUUGUCUGAUGCAACUUUGGUCGGAAUAAAACCAAUGUUGCUAUUUUUGCCGAAAUUAGGGAAAGUUUCGGUGGAUNNN